GUCGCAAUUUAAUCGAUGUACCACCAAUAUGUAUAGGUUAUUUUGAGGCAACGAGGGGAUAUGUGAUUUAUUCACCGAGGCGCCCAGCGCCGAGGUGAAUAAACACAUAUCCCCGAGGUGCCUCAAAAUAACGUACUUAUUUUUCACAUUGCGAGGUCGCGUUAAUGAGUCAGAAUAGAAAUAAUUCUUAAUGCCAUAUUGCCUUCGUGAUGUUGUUUUUUUGUCAUUUUUUGUGCUGCAAAGACAUUGCAGGUGAAUAUUAGAGGAUAUAUUAAACGGAAAUUGAUUAGAGGGGAAUAUUGAAU
rnacentral:lncRNA from 1 species